UCUGGGCAUGGUGGCACGCACCUAUAGUCCCAGCUACUUGGGAGGCUAAGGUGGGAGGAUCGCUUGAGCCCAGGAGUUCUCGGCUGUACUGCGCUAUGCCGAUCGGGUGUCCGCACUAAGUUCAGCAUCAAUAUGGUGACCUCCCCAGAGCGGGGGACCACCAGGUUGCCUAGGGGUGAACCGGCCCAGGUUGGAAAUGGAGCAGGUCAAAACUCCGAUGCUGAUCAGUAGUGGGAUAGCACCUGUGAAUAGCCACUGCACUCCAGCCUGGGCAAUAUAGCAAGACCCCCUCUCUU
ensembl:misc_RNA Metazoa_SRP Metazoan signal recognition particle RNA